rnacentral:rRNA from 1 species
GAUGAACGCUGGCGGCGUGCCUAAUACAUGCAAGUCGAGCGAACAGAUGAGGAGCUUGCUCCUCUGACGUUAGCGGCGGACGGGUGAGUAACACGUGGAUAACCUACCUAUAAGACUGGGAUAACUUCGGGAAACCGGAGCUAAUACCGGAUAAUAUAUUGAACCGCAUGGUUCAAUAGUAAAAGACGGUUUUGCUGUCACUUAUAGAUGGAUCCGCGCCGCAUUAGCUAGUUGGUAAGGUAACGGCUUACCAAGGCAACGAUGCGUAGCCGACCUGAGAGGGUGAUCGGCCACACUGGAACUGAGACACGGUCCAGACUCCUACGGGAGGCAGCAGUAGGGAAUCUUCCGCAAUGGGCGAAAGCCUGACGGAGCAACGCCGCGUGAGUGAUGAAGGUCUUCGGAUCGUAAAACUCUGUUACUAGGGAAGAACAAAUGUGUAAGUAACUAUGCACGUCUUGACGGUACCUAAUCAGAAAGCCACGGCUAACUACGUG